GCCUGCCCAGUGACUACGGGUUCAACGGCCGCGGUAUUUUGACCGUGCAAAGGUAGCGCAAUCACUUGUCUCUUAAAUAGAGACCUGUAUGAAUGGCUAGACGAGGGCUUAACUGUCUCCCCCUUCCAGUCAGUGAAAUUGAUCUAUCCGUGCAGAAGCGGGUGUAAUUAUACAAGACGAGAAGACCCUUUGGAGCUUAAGGUACAAAAUUCAACCACGUUAAACGACUCUACAUGAAGCAAGAACUUAGUGGCGAAUGAAAUUUUACCUUCGGUUGGGGCGACCACGGAGGAGAAAGAAGCCUCCGAGUGGACUGGGCUAAUCCCCAAAGCCAAGAGAUACAUCUAUAAGCCGCAGAACAUCUGACCAAGAAUGAUCCGACUGAUAAAGCCGAUCAACGAACCAAGUUACCCUAGGGAUAACAGCGCAAUCCUCUCCCAGAGUCCAUAUCGACGAGGGGGUUUACGACCUCGAUGUUGGAUCAGGACAUCCUAAUGGUGCAGCCGCUAU
rnacentral:rRNA from 1 species